GAACACAGGCUAUCUGACCUAG
rnacentral:miRNA from 1 species